rnacentral:rRNA from 1 species
GUAGCUUGCUUCUCUUGAGAGCGGCGGACGGGUGAGUAAUGCCUAGGAAUCUGCCUGGUAGUGGGGGAUAACGUUCGGAAACGGACGCUAAUACCGCAUACGUCCUACGGGAGAAAGCAGGGGACCUUCGGGCCUUGCGCUAUCAGAUGAGCCUAGGUCGGAUUAGCUAGUUGGUGGGGUAAUGGCUCACCAAGGCGACGAUCCGUAACUGGUCUGAGAGGAUGAUCAGUCACACUGGAACUGAGACACGGUCCAGACUCCUACGGGAGGCAGCAGUGGGGAAUAUUGGACAAUGGGCGAAAGCCUGAUCCAGCCAUGCCGCGUGUGUGAAGAAGGUCUUCGGAUUGUAAAGCACUUUAAGUUGGGAGGAAGGGCCAUUACCUAAUACGUGAUGGUUUUGACGUUACCGACAGAAUAAGCACCGGCUAACUCUGUGCCAGCAGCCGCGGUAAUACAGAGGGUGCAAGCGUUAAUCGGAAUUACUGGGCGUAAAGCGCGCGUAGGUGGUUUGUUAAGUUGGAUGUGAAAUCCCCGGGCUCAACCUGGGAACUGCAUUCAAAACUGACUGACUAGAGUAUGGUAGAGGGUGGUGGAAUUUCCUGUGUAGCGGUGAAAUGCGUANAUAUAGGAAGGAACACCAGUGGCGAAGGCGACCACCUGGACUGAUACUGACACUGANGUGCGAA